rnacentral:rRNA from 1 species
GAUUUCUGGCUUGAGACCUGCCGCCGGCCACGGUUUCGUGUGUCAGUGCGGUCGGUUCUGGCCAUCCUUCCAGGCGCCGUUGCGUCUACUCUUCACUGAGUGGACCACGACUCUGGAUCGUUUACUUUGAAAAAAUUAGAGUGUUUCAAGCAGGCUCGAUGCUAUGAAUACAUUAGCAUGGAAUAAUAAUUUAGGACUUCGGUUCUAUUUUGUUGGUUUCUAGGACUGAAGUAAUGAUUGAUAGGGAUAGUUGGGGGUGCUAGUAUUCAGCGGCCAGAGGUGAAAUUCUCGGAUUCGCUGAAGACUAACUUAUGCGAAAGCAUU